UACAUAGGGUGCAAACGUUGCUCGGAAUCAUUGGGCGUAAAGAGCGCGCAGGCGGUCGAUCAAGUCGAGUGUGAAAGCCCCCGGCUCAACUGGGGAGGGUCAUUCGAUACUGAUCGACUCGAAGGCAGGAGAGGGUAGUGGAAUUCCCGGUGUAGUGGUGAAAUGCGUAGAUAUCGGGAGGAACACCAGUGGCGAAGGCGACUACCUGGCCUGUUCUUGACGCUGAGGCGCGAAAGCUAGGGGAGCAAACGGG
rnacentral:rRNA from 1 species